rnacentral:rRNA from 1 species
CCAUGGCGGCCGCGGGAAUUCGAUUGGAUUAGGCAUGCAAGUCGCACGAGAUCCUUACUUCGGUUAGGUGAAAGUGGCGAAAGGGUGAGUAAUGCAUAGACAAUCAACCCCUGACUUCGGGAUAACUGGGGGAAACUUCAGCUAAUACCGAAUAGGCUCGUUCGGUGGCAUCAUCGAAUGAGUAAAGGUGGCCUCUCAACGAUGCUUUCGGUUGGGGACGGGUCUAUGUCCUAUCAGCUUGAUGGUGAGGUAACGGCUCACCAUGGCAAUGACGGGUAGCCGACCUGAGAGGGUGACCGGCCACACUGGGACUGAGACACUGCCCAGACUCCUACGGGAGGCUGCAGUCGAGAAUCUUCCGCAAUGGACGAAAGUCUGACGGAGCGACGCCGCGUGCGGGAUGAAGGCCUUCGGGUUGUAAACCGCUGUCACAGGUUAUGAACGGGUCAGGCGAUAAUAUCGGCUGGCUUUGACAAAGGCCUGAGAGGAAGCCACGGCUAACUUCGUGCCAGCAGCCGCGGUAAGACGAAGGUGGCAACCGUUGUUCGGAAUCACUGGGCAUAAAGCGCACGUAGGCGGAGAUGUAAGUCGGGUGUGAAAUCCCUCGGCCCAACCGAGGAACUGCGCCCGAUACUGCAUGUCUUGAGGGCAGGAGGGGAACGUGGAAUUCCUGGUGGAGCGGUGAAAUGCGUUGAUAUCAGGAGGAACACCGGCGGCGAAGGCGACGUUCUGGCCUGCUUCUGACGCUGAGGUGCGAAAGCCAGGGGAGCAAACGGGAUUAGAUACCCCGGUAGUCCUGGCCGUAAACGAUGGGCACUAAGUAGAGGGGUUUUAAUCACUAGUGAAUUCGCGGCCGCCUGCAGGUCGACCAUAUGGGAGAGCUCCCAACGCGUUGGAUGCAUAGCUUGAGUAUUCUAUAGG